GGAGUGGAAGGGGUGCCUCCAGCCUGAUUUAGGGGGACAUGGGGAGGCCUGCAGGGGAAGGGGCUUGGCAGGCGGAAGCUGCUGUCACAUGGUCGGGUAUCCGUGGGAGCUAUGCAGGCUGCAACAGAACUUGGAAGGCCUAGGAAGGCGUGGGUGCUUUCCACACAGGUCAAAGGGCAGGCGGAGCUGGGCUCACGUGUGGACUUAAGACCCAUUUGAGGCAGCCGGCUUUCAGGUGGGUCUUGUCCUGUCACCCCCAGGCUGGUCUCUCAGAAGCAGUGCGUGCAUAGGAUCUUUGCUUUCCCAACUGCUUCACUUUCCUUAAAGGCAGAUGCUCUUCCAGCUCAGGCUAAUGGAGAGAAGACGAGUGAGGACUGGUGCACCCUGUGAUCGUUUCUCAGUACCGGGUCCGGUUCCCCCCUCCGCACCCCUCCCCAGUGGCGGAAACCUGUCAGGACUGUGGCACUGAACUUUGGGGGUGCCGUCUAAGAAGCACUUGGGUUGGCAGGGUUGUUUCAGCAUCGGAGGUCUCCACACCUCUCUCUCUGAGAUUCUGCCCCCCGACGCUGCCUGCUUCAGCGCCCUCCGCAUCCUCACUACCAGGCCUCCACUGCCAUCCCCAGCCACGCCUGCCCUCCCAGGAGACCUCCAGACCCGGGCCUUUCUUUCCACCUUGGCACCUGUGUGCCUGUGCCCCACCCAUGGCAUGGAAAGAAUCAGAUGAAGUAAUUUAUGCCGAGGUGUCAGUAGCUGGGUACUAUUCUGUGAUCAUUCUGUGACUGGGAUAAUUCUCUCAAGGGUAUGUUCAUUUUCAAUGGAAACCAUGAUUCAUCCAGGUGAAUACAUUUCUAACAGCACAAUUUCUGUUCCGUGUCCGCUGGUAUGGACAUUUUGGGGGCCCAUGGAGUCUUCCCCCAGUCCCUCAGGUCAUACCCUGGGGGAAUUCCUCAUCCAGCUCCCCAGAUGUUCCUUGUAAAGUUAUAGCAUUCAAUCAUUUUGUCUUAGGAGACAUUUAUCUUCACACCUUUGCCAAAAUUCAUUGAAAUCGGUGAAAAUAAAAAAGGGGGGGUUUUUAGCUGCCACUUUAUUUCAGGUUGUUAAACCAGCCUCCAUUUGAACUGAAGAUACCUCUGACAUCCUUACGUAUAGAAUUCUCAAACUUCGGGAAACAUCUGUUAACCGAAAUUAUGAAGUAACGCCAGGUGGAUGAGUUGAUACAGACAGAUACCUUAGUUGACAAAAGGAAAUGAGUUCUGAGAUUCUCCAUGAAGGCCAACCAGUUUCCAAGUGGAAAACCUGGUUUCUGCCCUCGAAGUUUUGUUAUCAGUUUGUCAUUGAGAAGCAAGGAGUGAUGGGGACAUCGUUCUUGUGAAGAUGCCAGUUCAUUAUGCAAGCAUUAUAUAUUGUUACAAAGCAAUGGAUACUGCGUAAGCAUUUCUAGAAAUCAAUGUUGGACUUAGAUUUCCAGCUGUGUGACUCCAUGCUAUCCUUUUCUUAGAUGUAGAUGCCUCGUGAUAAGUACUAAAUCUCUAAGUCUACUUAGCACCUAGCAAAGUGUGUUGUGUAAAGCAGGCAGUUAAUAAGUGCAUAUUUAAUGAGCCAGUAUAGUUUUGGUUUUGCUAUGUUUUCCUUAGGAUGUAGGGGUUAAGCCGAGGGAAGCUGUCUCUUAGAAGCUCUUAGAUGUGAAUAUUGAUAUCAAAGUAACUGUGCUUGCAUAAACAAACAAGCACAUUCAACGGCUUUGGUGAACAGGUAGAUAGGUAUAUGUAGAUAUAGCUCCAGAGCCCACCUGUAUGCAAGGUGCUGAGCAGUGGGCAGGGAGGAAGUGCGAGACGCUGUUACUUCAGUCUCCCUUGCCUGCUUGGAUCCUAGACUUACACUGGUACAGUGACCUGCUAAGGAGGCCAGGAAAGCGGUUGCCCUGCUGAGGAUACUAGUAUUUCCGAAGGCCACUCGCUGGAAUGUAACACCUGGGCCUGGAAUCUAAAGUGAGGCCCCGCACCCCCUCCCCCCCCUCCGAGAGAGAUCAUCCGCAUUUUCUACUUGGGGGGAAUUCCCUUAACUGGAAGUGGAUGGUUUCAGAUACCCAUGACCAUGGAAAGAAUCAGAUGAAGUAAUUUAUGCAGAGGUGUCAGUAGCUGGGUACUAUUCUGUGAUCAUUCUGUGACUGGGAUAAUUCUCUCAAGGGUAUGUUCAUUUUCAUUGGGAAACUGGAUUCAUCCAAGUGAAUACAUUUCUAACAGCACAAUUUCUGUUCUGUGUCAGCUGGUAUGGACAUUUUGGAGGCCAAGGGAGUCUUCCCUCAGCCCCUCAGGCCAUGCUCUGGGGAAAUUCCUCAUCCAGCUCCCCAGAUGUUCCUUUUAAAGUUAUAGCAUUCAGUCAGUUUGUCUUAGGAGACAUUUAUCUUCAGACCUUUGCCAAAAUUCAUUAAAGUAAGUGAAAAUAAAACCCCACUUCCAAACCCCACUUCCUCUUUCGAAUUGAGUAGGCUCAUAACCAUUCUCAAGGCUUUGAAAGGGUGAGGGAGAGAAAGGGAGAAACAUCAAUAGGCUGACUCCUGCACACCCCCUACUGGGGAUGGAGCCUGCAACCCAGGCAUGUGCCCUGACCAGGAAUCGAACCGGCGACCUCUUGGUGCAUGGGUCAACACUCAACCACUGAGCCACACCAGCCUGGCUAUAAUAAUAGUUUUGACUUGUGGACCAACCAACGUACAGCAUACCCAUAACAUAUUCCCUAACAUCUAGAAAUUUACCAUCUAAGGCCCAAAAGAAAUACUAAUAAUUCUGGUUUAACAGUGCUUCCUGCAAGAAUCCUAAAAGUCUAGAUUCUUAGAAGCCAGAAUACAGUCAUCAGCCACUUGGUUCUAUCUCCUCUCUUAGCACCCACCCUGGAGCACUGCUUCAGUGAUUUUCAUUCCAUGAGAAGCAGCCCUGUGAAAUGUUUCACCAGAAUCGUGGCAGUGAUGUGGAUGCACUGUUCCCUUUUAUAAUGAUCCGUGGGAGAAAUGCCCAAUGCUAUCGUCAAAGCUCUGCUUCUCCUCAGAACCUGCCAUACCAGCUGUCCUCAACAGAGCAUCCCAGAGUCUACAAAUAGUUAAUCCUGGCCCACUGACAAAACCAGAUGGCAGUUGGAAAUGCCGUGCUCGUGAAUUUCAGAGAUCUGGGUCAAAUCUUACCUCUACCUCUUACCGGCUGAAUGAACUUGGGUAAGACAUUUAGCCUCUUAGAGUCUUUUAUUCCCCACCUACAAAGUGGGGAUAAUAGUGUCUUCUGUGGUUGCCUGGAGCAUUAAAUGUAUGAGUUUCUGGAACGUGGUCACAUGCAGUGUUAGCGGAAUCUGACCCAUUGCCCUGCCCCCCACGUGAGCAAGGCCAUGUCCCAAAAGACCCAAGACACGUUCUUUUCCAGAUGAAGAUUUACCAUCUCUCCUUAAAUGUCUGCAAUUUGUGCGUUUAAUUUCCUUUAUGAACCAGAAGUUGUCUUGCAUCUGACUGAAGUUCACCACAUGAACAUAACACUGCCUUUCACAUGUGAGCCCUUUGAGGCCAGGGCCAGCAGGAAAACCUCUGAGCUGUUCUUUUCUCCUUUUCUGGUUACAAAAAACAGCAUGUUGUUCCUGAAAGUGGAGGGCCAAUAGUAUACAAAUCAACUAGGAGAAUCAAAAAUAGCCAUUCCUAAGCCCCUCCCAGAGAACCUGCUGUGUUAGGUCUGGGGUGGAGCCCAGGAACCUGGGUGUCUGUCCAGCUCCCAGGUGUCCUGGUGUGGGCAGAGCAGACCCCUAGGACUACAGGCUGAGAACACUGACCUGUAGAAAGGGAUGUGCCUUCUGUAGCAGAGUUCAUGCAGACCACUGAUCAUGGCCUCGGCCAAGCUCUGCAAAGAGAGGGGAGCCAACAUAGAAGAAAACCGGCAGGGCCAUGGAAACCCCUUACCCGGGAGGGAAACUCCCCUUGGCCUGCUCCCAAAUGCCAGACUGUGUUCUUCAUACCUGCGUCAACGUUUCAUUUUUAAGCCAUUCCUCAUUCUCCUUUAACAAUUCAAAAUAGUGAACAUAGUUUUGGUAAUUCUCAUGCUUACGAGUGGUAUCUGAUGGGCAGAUGCCUCCUCUCUAUUAUUUCUUUCCCCUUUGUUUGUGCUUCCAACAGAGCCAUCCUUUAAGGAUGAAGGCACUUGGAGAGUGGGUUUUAACAGGAUAAGGAGCCCCGGUCUGAGCCU